GUUUUUAGCUCAGCCGCAGUGGCAAUUCGAUUCAGUUUAGGACGUGGGCUUGAACGUGGUGGUUCGCUACUUGUCGGCAACAUCGUGGAAAGUGGGAAUAUAGUUUGAAAUUUAAUCGGAAGCGAAGUAGAGGCAGACAGUGAAGAUAAAUAGCAAAAAAAACGAAAUUAAAAUUGUGCAGCCGAGAGAAAACUAUUUAAAAUUUUAGCCGGAAAUUAUUUACAUAAUAUUUCCGUGAGUCAAAAUGAAAUGCCGGUGGGCUGAAUUGGAGCCGCUGCUUAGCUGUAGCUGAGUGUGUUUCUCGAACUUCAGCGAGCUAAUUUCCUCAGGCUUUCGACCGUAUUUUGGCUUUGACUUCGCUUGCUUUGUUUUUGAUUUGAUUUCCAGUGUAAUUUGCCGAAUGCGCUGAUAAAAACGCGAUAGCAACAAUACGAAACCCUAUCUCCAUUUGCAGGGAAUAAAAAUUGAAAAAAAAAACGAAAAAAGGGAAAGCGCGAAAAAUUCGGCGCAAAUUAGCAGCAACGGAAACAUAUACAAUUACAAAAUCGCACGUACAGGUUUUGAUUAAAACACCAAACGUACUCCCAAGAGCAGCUCGUAGGUAGCUUUCCGCAUCCGAAGCCAGCGGUUUCGACCUCAACUCGACAUCAUCAAGGCAGAAAUAUCCGCUACGAUAACAGCAUAGAUUGUUGCAGUGAAAUUACCUCUGCCGUAAAUUUAAAAAGUUUACACGGCUGCCCGCAUGAGCUACACCUGCUGCACGCCGUGCUCAACAACUACUACAAAAAUCUGGAGCAAGCCGUUGUGAACAAAUUCGCUCCACUGUAGCUCAUUUUCGGUUUGACGACAAUACAAAUUGUCGAUGGUGUGUGGACGAAGGAUUCAAUGGCGCCUACACGCCCAACAUUGUGGUAAAGAAUAAUGGCUCAUGUUUUUUAUGUGUUGCCCGAAAUUUUCAAAUCCACCUGGAAAUUUUUGAUCACAUGGUUUCCAUGCCCUAAUCAACGCUGUGGGAUGAAGUUCGGCACAUGAACAUAUGAUGGCUUUCAGAUGGAAGCGAUAGUACGCGCCAUACAGAUGGACUGUGGGAAGAAUAAAAAGGCCGAGACGGUCCGCAUUCACCUACAUUUAUGGGCUUUGAUCUUGUCGAGUAGCUCACAUAUCGUCUGCUAUGUGAGGCAUCACAGAAAACAUAGCGAAGCAGCUUCUUAUCCGAUCAUGAUAAUAUAUCACUCGAAGUCAAUAAUGGCUGUUCACUGUGUCUUCUUCAAACACCGUGUGUUUCUUUCAAAACACGUAUUUACAAGGCAUUUUCUGAGUAUGACCCCUUUUUCCAACUCUCCAACGGUAUUACCCUCGAAAGCAUAGGUCAAGGAAGACACCACUUUUUGAAAGCUUAAUAACAGCUUCGCCGCUUCAUCCAAGGAGAAACGUAUAUAUCAGGACGUUUAUAUUUCAACGAAAAUGUAUGUUUCUGGACAGCACUCAAGCGGUUGCAGCAUUCAGCGCACUUGCAGGUUUAUCGCAACGAAUUUUACGAGGGGUUCCUGAAGCCUGCCACAUUGUGCGUGUAGUUAUAUACAGACACCUCUAUAGACAUAGUUCAAAGAAGCUAAAACAUUGGUGCAACACUGCGUGAGUGUGGGCACAGAAACAAAUAAAAAUAAAAUGCCAAGAAA